rfam:Gorilla gorilla gorilla genomic chromosome, chr5, whole genome shotgun sequence
AAAAAGGUUUUUUUAAAAACUAUAUUAACUCUACUAAAAAUGUCAU